rnacentral:lncRNA from 1 species
UUGUUCAAAGAAAGAGGUGAGUUAAUAAGACCAGUGAUUUGUAUUCGACACAAGUUCAUAAUUUACUAUCAAUGGAACCAUAUGGAAGAACUGAACUACAGUGAGUACAUACAUUCUCAAGUUCUCAUCACUAUGUAAUUCACCUUUCAAAUAGACCUCGACAAUGAACGGUGGCUCCAACAGUCUAACCUGCAAAACCUGCAAAUGACGUGGAGGGAAAAUGCAUGUCUUCUUGUUCUUGUUAGGUCAUGUCAAGCGUAUGCAAGUACUCCACUCUGGCUACAAGACUGGAACAUUGGCAGUACGUUAAUUAUAAUUAACAAAUGAAAACCAUGAUCAAAUUUUUAUCACUAAAAUAUAAUUCUAUAGAGUCUUUGCCAUAUUUGACUUAAAACAUGCCUCCACUGUCUCACAGAGCCGCUAUAUUAAAUCAUGGGGGGUGUCAGCUACAUUUAAUUUUCCUUCCAAAUCACAAGAAUCUUGGCAAUUUUUUCGGUUUGGGUUUAAGCGUUUGACAUUGAGUUGUGACCAUGUUGGUUUCACUAUAUGACUACGUUGAAACCUAUGUUAGUUAGGUGAUCAACGAAGAUUGUAUUGUGCUUUAUCUCUGUGGUGAGAGAAGACACAACGGGAUCUUGAGGUGAGUAAAUCUCAUUAUGUUAUUCCAUGAACAAAAUUACCUUUAUAUUAAAUUGAAUCGCAAAAAUUGUAAAAUGGUUUUCUAAAAUAAAUAACGAUUUCAAUCAAUCAUAUAAACUUGACCGACUACAGUUCAGGAGAUCACAAGAAACACUAAGAUAUUCAAAUUAGAAUCACAAUAAUUCAAUACGAAACACAUUAUUAACAAAAGACAAUUAGCAAUACCAAUCGCUCGACCACAAAUCUUAACAUCAAUCCACAACAUUUACACAAGAUCAUCACACAGAUCACGUACACAGAUUCAUCACACAGGUCAUCCCACAGAUCACCACACAGGUCGUCACCAAACACUGAUUACUUUUCUCCAAUUAAACUCAAGGUCUUAAUCACAAACAUUUCCAAACUACGUGUUCUCAUAACUCACCGAUCCUCAUCAAUGACACACGCUUCAAUCAAGCCCAAAGCCAAGUAUCUUUCUCAAAUUUUUUCUUUUAACGAUCAAUACAUUAUACAACAAAAGUGGACAUAACACACAAUUUCACCAAAGCACAUAUACUUCCAUGAAUAUAUAUAGUUGCCACUAAUAUCAAAUACAGCUACAAUCGGGGAAGGGCUCAAGAAAGCUGAUAUAUAUUAAAAGAAAAUAUUUUACUUACUCGUGAACCGUGGACGAUCAAGUUCACAUGAUUUUAAAACAAAACAUUUCACUUACGAGAGCACGAUCCCACAAUUUAGCAAAAUCAACACACCAUAUAAGAAAGUCGGUUCCUACUUGAAACUUACGAAGGUCACUCACCUUGAACUCCCGCUUGCCACACGUAAAGCACAAGCAAAAGCACAAGCACAAGCACAAGCACAAGCACAAGCACACUCUCAUCAACACCUAAGUAGCACAAUCUACAACUUAGUGACAAAACGAACCAAAUACUAUUGCACUAACUACUUACACCUUAUCCUCGAAGAUUUGCCAAUUGAGGCAAUCUUCCUCCAAGACCUCUCAAGGUCUCCGGAACACUUUAACACCCUAUUUUGCAGCAAUAAAUCAAGGUUCAUAAAUACAGAUUCUCAUAGCUAAACAACCCAAUCACAAAACAGAUUAACGUUAAACCUAACAUACAUCUUUAGAUCAUCACAUAACCUCAUAAUAUGUCCACAAGGUCAUAUCCACGAGUAGAUGACCAUUACGAAAAUAUAAUCUCGAAGCAUGGCCGAGCGCGCUGCCACCCGAGCCGCCACAGACGGCCACGAGUGGGCCCCACGCGUCGCCGGCGACCCAAGAACAGGGUCAUGGAUCGUACAUCAUUCUCUUCAUCUCAAUGAGUUCUACAACCUUCUCAACUAGCACAAAGUUCAAUUAUGAAAGGAUUUAUCGGAAUUUACCUCAUAAAGACAAGGUUUGAAAUCUUCCAACGCGAAUUUUUCUCACCACGCUUGGAGUCGUUCUUCAAGGCUGGUAUGUAUGAAAAGGGGAUGAGAAGAGCUACAAAGCCCAGUAGAUUCGCAACCCAACUCACCAGAAUCCAUCGGAGCAACACCGUCGACGGUGGCAGCAACUUACGGGUCUUGCUGUGUCGUGUACAAUAAUCUAUAGAGUGAGGUUGGUAUGAAUAGAAAGAAGAGAUCAACAACUUUCCAACGGUACCAAGCAUGCUCAAUUCCAUCGCCGAAUGGCCAAGUUAUUGCUGAACAAAGAAAGAGGGUUGGUUGGUGACGAAAAUGGAAGAGAAAGGGAGAAAAUCUGAUUUUUGUUCUAAAGCUAGGGUUUCUAAAUACUACCCCAAAGUAUUUCUAUACAUACCCUUUUUAAAAUCGACAACUAAACUUUAACUGAAUUUAAUUUUCUCUACGAUGUCCGUUUCACCCAUGGCACGUGUCUAUGAACUCGUAUCGUCGUGCUCUACAACUUUGAAGAAUGAAGUUUUACGAGAAACCCAACGGAUAAAAAGUCAACUAUUUGGCCCUUCCAAUAGAUCCAUUUCUAGUCAAUAUUCAUUUCCCAACACUCUCACUCUUCUCGAACUACGAAUCCCGCUAACUUCUAACUUGAUAAUUUCCAAAAUAAUAUUAGAAAUUAGUAAUGAAUUUC